UCCACAGUAGCUCAGUGGUAGAGCUAUCGGCUAUUAACCGAUCGGUCGUAGGUUCGAGUCCUACCUGUGGAGCCA
rnacentral:tRNA from 1 species